rnacentral:rRNA from 1 species
UAGGGAAUCUUCCGCAAUGGGCGAAAGCCUGACGGAGCAACGCCGCGUGAGUGAUGAAGGUCUUCGGAUCGUAAAACUCUGUUAUUAGGGAAGAACAAAUGUGUAAGUAACUAUGCACGUCUUGACGGUACCUAAUCAGAAAGCCACGGCUAACUACGUGCCAGCAGCCGCGGUAAUACGUAGGUGGCAAGCGUUGUUCGGAUUUACUGGGCGUAAAGCGCACGUAGGCGGACUUUUAAGUCAGGGGUGAAAUCCCGGGGCUCAACCCCGGAACUGCCUUUGAUACUGGAAGUCUUGAGUAUGGUAGAGGUGAGUGGAAUUCCGAGUGUAGAGGUGAAAUUCGUAGAUAUUCGGAGGAACACCAGUGGCGAAGGCGGCUCACUGGACCAUUACUGACGCUGAGGUGCGAAAGCGUGGGGAGCAAACAGG